rnacentral:rRNA from 1 species
UACGGGGGGGGCAAGCGUUGUUCGGAAUUACUGGGCGUAAAGGGCUCGUAGGCGGCCAACUAAGUCAGACGUGAAAUCCCUCGGCUUAACCGGGGAACUGCGUCUGAUACUGGAUGGCUUGAAUCCGGGAGAGGGAUGCGGAAUUCCAGGUGUAGCGGUGAGAUGCGCAGAUAUCAGGAGGAACACCGGUGGCGAAGGCGGCUUCCUGGCCUGUUCUUGACGCUGAGGCGCGAAAGCGUGGGGAGCGAACAGG